CAAAAAAAAAAAAAAAAAAAAAAGAAAAUUUCUAGGUGAAGGGUGUACAAUCCUUACUGGAUAGGAACUGUGUAGAAUCUUGGGACAGUGAGCAGCUUCCACUUGAGACCUUUCUGAUCAUUCCUGACCAGGGGAACUACUGCCAUUGACACACAGGACCUGCUCUGUGUCAGCUAAAUUUAAUUCUGUGCAGACAAACUGCUGAGCUCCUGGGAGGUAAAAAGCCCUCAGCCAGGCAGACAUUUACCUGAUCAAAGCACAGAGGCCCUCUGAAGCCCAGCCUGGUAAAGAUCCUACCUGAGACCAUAAUAAUCUUACACUUUAUUCCAAUACAAUGGAGGCCAAACUACUUGUUUAAAUGGUUCUACAAAUGUUUGGUUGAAAUUACAUUUUAUUCUUUAUUCAGAUUAAGGUAUAAUUGCCAAAUUACAAUUAUAUAUACUUGUGGUGUACAAUGUGAUUUUUAAAAUUUCAGCUUUUAUUAAAUCGGGGGAUACAUGUGUAGGACUGUUACAUGGGUAUAUUGGGCCCACAUAGUGAGCAUGGCACCCACAGGUAGUCUUUCAACACAUGUCCAUCUCUCUUCCUACUCUCCUAGGAAUCCACAGUGCCUAUUCGUUUAGCUUCCGCUUCUGAGUGAGAACACGUGGUAUUUGGUUUUCUGUUCCAGAGUUAAUCUGCUUUAGAUUAUGGCUUGCAGCCAUAUGUUGCUGCUGAGAACAUGAUUUAAUUUUUUUAUAGCUUCAUAGUAUUCCAUGGUGUAAAUGUAUAUUUUCUUAAUACAAUCCAGCAUUGAUGGGCACCUAGAUUGAUUUCACUUCUCUGCAACUGUAAGUGUACAACCUUAAGUCUCCAGCCUACAACUUGAGAGCCCUCACCAAAGCCCAAUUAUGCCAGACUCUGGUCUCCAGCCUGAGGUGAAAUAGAAGUGAUAUCCCAUUGUAUUUGUUGAAUUCUGUUGGUCAGAAGUAAGUCAUUAGUCUCACAGUGCUCUGAGUUUUUGUGGAUGCUGCACACCACAUGAUAUGCAGCACAAGGGUCUGAUUUUACAUAUAAUGGAAAGUCACUGGAAUGUGUAAUUAGUAGGAAGAUGGCAAUAUUUGGAUUUUACCCUCUUACUAAUUCAGAAUGAAAAAUGAGGCCCAGAGAAGUGACUUUCCAAAACCACACUGCUGGUCCCAGGUCUGAGUUGUAUUCCAUGCUGCCUCCCAUCCAUUCUUGUAAUUCAUCUCUAAAUUUGUGCAUUGUCUUCAUGUGACACUAUGCCAUGAGUUUUGUCUCAUUUGUACCUGAUGCAUUUUCUAGAAGAUGCUGAUAUAAUCCCCAUUGCGUAGGUUAGGAGGCUGGGUAGGCACCAAAAUACACAAUGACUUCUAGGUUCACAGAACUGGUUAGAAAAAAGUAGUUCUGAUCCAGCUAUGUCACCACAAACCUGGGGCCCUGACUGCGUCCAGUCUCUGUAGGGGACUGAGAGGCUGUGCUUGCAUAACUGUGUACAGGCAAGGAGUUGACAUGGUGGGGAGCAUGAGAAAUCAGUAUCCCAGUAGGGCCUUUGGGUAGGUCUUAUGGAAGGAAGGGGUCUUGGGGUUAGAACCCUGAAGUGACCUUACUUUCUCAGUGACAGACCCCAGGAUAACUUAGAACCCUGGUAACCAGGCACCUACAUUCUAGAGACAGCCCCAGUAGUCAACUCACUCAGUAGGAAAUGCUCAAGAGAGCAAGAUGUUCUUUUGCUCUAUCCUGACUUUCCAAGGCUCUUGAUUUAGUAAGGCCUGACGUGAGAACACUUUUCAACAAUGCAGGAAUUGGCUCAACUGUCACCACUGAUGUCUCUGGCCAUUUGGCAGAGGGCAUGCAAAGGUAACAAAGGGCAUCUCAGGAGAGGCCCAUGCAGGUGAGGCCUCACCUGUGAUCCUAUUAAGUAAGACUCACAUGUCUUUCUGACACCAUGUGUUGGGGAAAGCAAGUGCUGAGGAGGCUAUUUCUGGACAGGAGCAGAUCAUCAAGUGUUGGAAGCCUUAGUGAGUUGGUCAGGUUCAUACCCCAGGGCAUGACAGGACGGGGAGGUGAGUGUUGAAAAACAAUUUUGUCUUCUUGGAUGUGAACCCCAAGACUUCAAACCGUGAUCUGGUUUCCUCCCUGGCUGAAGGUCUAUGGGAAUUCUCUUUUAUGCCUGAUAUAGGGAUAAUUACUUUUGUUUUUUAUAUAGGGUCUCACUUUUGUCUUGCAGGCUGACGUGCAGCUGUGUAAUCAUGGCUUAAUGAAGCCUCAACCUUUGGAGAACUUUUACUGGAAGUGUUCCCCUGUGAUGACAACCAGCUUUCACACGAACUGACAGAGGACUCACUAACUGCAGUGGAAAGAACAUCAAUCUAUUCUGAGGAAUCUACACCCAUGACCUAAACACCUUCCACUAGACCCCGCCUUCACCAUGGGGAAACAUAUUUCAACAUGAG